AGUUGUCUUCUCUUUGGGCCUGAUAUAAGAAGUGGAUUUGACAUUUACAAAGGAAACAGGUUCUUCAGGCGGGCCGUCGUCUUCCGCGAGGACCUCCUCACUUUGAGAUUCAUCGGGAUUUGGACUGAGAGAUGCAGCUGCACUAUGGAGCUGAGAUGGGCUGAUCUUUUCAGGGAUUCUCCAAAAUGUCUCCUAAUGAGAAUGCAUUAUGGAAAAAGUCAUGUCAGGCAUUUCCAAUCAGCAUUUUGAUCACCAUAAGCAGCAUGAAAUUUGCCAGUGUAAUCCUGAACAAUAAAGCCACACCUGUUCAUUUGCAGGCGGACGCAUCCCCAGUUUGCGCAGCAGCUUGUGGAAGGUCUUGUUCUCCAUGGCGUCUUCACAUGCCUCGGUGAGAGGGACAAGAGGAGUAGCCUGGGAAAAACCUGGCCAAAGGAGCAAAUCUUCUUAACUGGACAUUAAGACAUUUUCAAAUCCGUGCUGCAGCACAGCCUUUGUUGACAUUCUUACCAUCAUCUUCUCUGCCCUUAGCUGCUCGGUCCAGACAACGUUGUAACCACGCAAGGGCUUCGGACAUGCCUGGAAGACAACAGGAUCAAGAAUAUUCACAACCAUACACAAUUGUUUGCUCUGCGUCACACUGAAAGGAUACUCAAAAGGUUUGUGUCACCUUCGUCAUGCAACCUUGUAACUAUGGCGCCAACAUCCGCUCGCCUUUCCACUUUUGACGCAACGCUUUGACUCCUACUGCUGCCACCAUCCUGUCUUUCUUGCAUUUCUGGCUCGUCUUCUUCCUCACUCUCUUCGGACUCAUCCUCAUCUUGUUCUUGAGGAUCAUCUGGUAAAUUCUGCGUGAGUUCAGCCAGGAAAUCCUCUUCACUCUGUAGGAAGAAUGUAUUUUCUCAGUCUUCCUUGUUGUGUUCGGCCAUCGAAGAAGUUUUUAAAACUUGCCAUUUGUGUGCCGGAACUUUUUGGACGAGCACUUCGACUUCUCUUCUUAUAAAGUUCUCGCCUUUCUGACACCAGGCCCAGACUGAGGAGCUUGUCCACCACACGUGCACGAGAGCGCUUGGCUGUGAGCUUCUUAAAAAUGUUGCCGAGAACAUCUAGGGGUGAAAGACAAAUUAGGGAAAUCGCAUUUUCUCCAAAAUUAAGCUGCUUCGAUCAAUUCCAGUAAUCACCAUCAGAGUCUUUGUAUUCUUCAUAGAGCAUCUGAAGUUCUACUUCCUGGUCUUCAGUCCAAAGAACAAUCCCGGUACCUUUCCUUUGUCAUAGAAUAUCAUUUUCAGAUGAUUAUCGAUCGAGCAAAUUAUUAUAUCAAAACUUAAUGAGUCAGCAUAUCCAGCCGACAUACUUGGGUUUUUUCAGCUCUUUAGCGCUGUCCACCAGACCCAGGCGUACCAUCUGAAUCACAACCUGCUUCCGUGUGCGUGUACUGUUGCUUAGUAACGGCAGCAGAGUCUCCACAAUGUCUGGAUCUGGCAAGAGUUAGUUAGUAUUAGUUACCCAGUUAGCGCAACAUGGAAAGUAAAAUCACAAACAGGAGUGCUAACAGUAAACAAACAGCAAACCUUCAGAGUGUCGGUGCUCUUCAUAAAGAUUACGCAAUUCCUCCUCUUCCUCUUCAGUCCAAGCUGGCAUCUUUUCCGCUCUUAUGAAUGGAAGCAAAAUACCACAUGAGUGCAUCUUUUCCAGCUUUACAUUAAUCUAAUAUGUAAUAAAAAAAAUAAAAAAACACCAACCCAUCUUUGCUGUAACCUUCAGUCAUCUCGCGCACAGCGCCGACGUUUUUCCAGAACAGCAGCUCAAUGUAGGCCUUGUUGUUGGUGGCUGCCAGCGAAAAGAAACGAUUCAGCACAUACUUGGCAAAGGUGACCAGCUCCUGUGGAUGACAGAAAGAAGGUGAGCUCAUGGGCCUCAUCACUGUCUUUAGUUUAUGAACCAACCUUGUAAGCAGAGGCUGCCGGGUCACUCAGGAUCUUAUUGAAGAGAUGAAAGACUGACAGCUGAUAUAGCAAAGCGUCCAUUUUGAGAUCAAAUGCCACACGGUGAAGCAUUCGAACAAUGCAGUGGUUUGUGUGAGGUGUGUUUUUGGAGUAGGAUUUCAGUAAAUGCAGGUAUGGCCGCACAAUGUUGGGGUUGGCAAACCUGUAAAAAAACAACAACUGUCAAAGUAGGAUCUGAUUUGAAAGGCAAAAGGUGCAAACGUUACUGCCUCACUUCUUGACAAAGUCCAGAAAUUUGAACUCAGUUUCCGAAACUUGGACUGCCUCCAACUCUUCGUCUUCUUCCAGAUCCGGACCAUCGUCCUCAUCAUCCUCUUCCAUUUGAGUCUCAGGAGGAGGGGCCGACCCUGAAAUCAAAAGCGAAUCCUGCAUCCAGAUGGUGCGAUACUCAGAUGUCAUGUAAAUACGCUGCGUGCAUACUUGGCAACUCUGCAUGCAAGAUCUGCUUGAGGAGUUCAAGUUCUUCUUCAGGGUCCACAUCGCUCGAGCCAAACACGUCUCCCUCGGGCCAUACUUCCCUGAAUGCAGUCAUUUAUUUGAUAUCUUAAGUUUUUGAAUGAUUCUAGACGUGAAAGGUGCUGAGUAUGAAAAUUUACCUGGCAGCUCUCAGCAGCGCUAAAGAUUCUGGUCCCAAUUGAGCUUGCAAAGCAUCCUGCACCCGCACCAUAGCCUCAGUCCGUUGCUCCUCCAGGGGAGUUUCCGAUGUGGCGUCGAAAGGCACGAUGCGCUCAGUUAAAGAUUCUGACAGCUGCAGACGAGCCCGAAAAAUGAGACACGAUGCCAUUUCUGUUCUUCUUUGGUAGUGUCCUAAUACUUCAUUUUUCUUUUCUAUUACAGAUAAUUACACUGACCUGAAAAUUGACACCCUUUAGUUGUUCCUCCACAACCUUCAAAGUAUCCGCCAGAGCUUCUGGGGUCCUUUCUACAUCGGGCUGUUUUUUGCCUUUUCUGGACUUUUUUCGCUUCACUCGCUUUUUCUGUAAAAUUAACCACAUCUAGACUUUUUCUGGCCGGCACUGAAGGAGAAACAUUCAUCUACAUAUAACUUGUACAUACUUGCACAACCAAGCUCCUACGACCUUUGCAGAAGCGCUCCAACAUACGUAGGAAGAGAUGCGUUGACUCCACCAAAUCUUUAAGGUAGGACUGUGGCUGUUUGGUUCCGUCAUACUUUCUCAGCAGAGUCAGGAAUAUCUCCCUGUAUUCCGUUAGGUAGAAAAUGUUACCUACAAGGUGAGAAGGGAAAACAAUUUGUCAAUCAUUCUAAUGAUAUAUAAAUUCAGAGGAAUAACAAUACAAGUGCUGACUCUUUCUUGACAACGAAAAUGCUCCAUUUUGAUUUGCUCCCAGAACGGCAUUCACUUUAUUUAAUAUUGCCUUACUUUUGAUAACAUUGGCGCUGUGGCGGAUGCUUUCGUCCUCAGAUCGGUCCAUUUCGUUCACAGUCAUCAGCAGCUCCUGAUAUGCCUUCAGCGCCAGGUGCAUCCUAACAAAAACAAGGUGGAAUAAAAUAUGAACGGACAUAUUUUCAGCAAUUUAGUAAUGACCCCGCUUCCAAACGCCUCUCUUGCCUUCGUGACCAGGAUGUGGCCUCUUUGCGGUCAGCCAAAAUCAUUUCAUAGUAAUUGGUGAUGUUGGUCUCGAUAAAAUGGAAAGUCCGGGUGGACAUUGUUUCCGAAACUAAAUCAGCUCGGAAAUCGUUGCCACGGUUGAAGGCCAUGAAGAAGCUGAGCGCCCACAGGUAGUAGGUCUCAUCGUGCUCCUGAGAUUGCUCCCGGAUCAGGUUUUCCUGGAGAGGAGGGAGGCAAGACAACAGAAUGUCAAGUUGAAUUAUCAACAUGAAUGGGAUAAAGAAAAUGAAGAUUGUGUAUCAUCAAUGAAUCAUAAAGAGCUGCCGCUUAUUCAAUAAAGUACUUUAGGGGACAAAAUAAA